rnacentral:rRNA from 1 species
UACAGAGGGUGCGAGCGUUGUCCGGAAUCACUGGGCGUAAAGGGCGCGUAGGCGGCCCGCACAAGUCUGCGGUGAAAACCCCCGGCUUAACCGGGGGCCGGCCGUGGAAACUGUCGGGCUAGAGGCCGGGAGAGGGCAGCGGAAUUCCCGGUGUAGCGGUGAAAUGCGUAGAGAUCGGGAGGAACACCGGCGGCGAAGGCGGCUGCCUGGACCGGCCCUGACGCUGAGGCGCGAAAGCUAGGGGAGCAAACAGG